rnacentral:rRNA from 1 species
GACGAACGCUGGCGGCGUGCUUAACACAUGCAAGUCGAACGGAAAGGCCCUGCUUUUGUGGGGUGCUCGAGUGGCGAACGGGUGAGUAACACGUGAGUAACCUGCCCUUGACUUUGGGAUAACUUCAGGAAACUGGGGCUAAUACCGGAUAGGAGCUCCUGCUGCAUGGUGGGGGUUGGAAAGUUUCGGCGGUUGGGGAUGGACUCGCGGCUUAUCAGCUUGUUGGUGGGGUAGUGGCUUACCAAGGCUUUGACGGGUAGCCGGCCUGAGAGGGUGACCGGCCACCUUGGGACUGCGAGACGGCCCAGAAUCCUACGGGAGGCAGCAGUGGGGAGUAUUGCACAGUGGGCGGAAGCCUGAUGCAGCAACGCCGCGUGCGGGAUGCCGGCCUUCGGGUUGUAAACCGCUUUCGCCUGUGACGAAGCGUGAGUGACGGUAAUGGGUCAAGAAGCACCGGCUAACUACGUG